rnacentral:rRNA from 1 species
UACGAAGGGGGCUAGCGUUGCUCGGAAUUACUGGGCGUAAAGCGCACGUAGGCGGUCUUUAAGUCGGGGUGAAAUCCUGGAGCUCAACUCCAGAACUGCCUUCGAUACUGGAAGACUUGAGUCCGGGAGAGGCGAGUGGAACUGCGAGUGUAGAGGUGAAAUUCGUAGAUAUUCGCAAGAACACCAGUGGCGAAGGCGGCUCACUGGCCCGGUACUGACGCUGAGGUGCGAAAGCGUGGGAGCGAACGA